rnacentral:rRNA from 1 species
UAGAUACCCCACUAUACCUCGCCGUAAACUUUAACUUACACCCCCUAAAUCGCCAGGGAACUACGAGCAAAGCUUAAAACCCAAAGGACUUGACGGUGCCCCAUAUCCCCCUAGAGGAGCCUGUCCUAUAACCGAUGAUCCUCGUUUAACCUCACCACUUCUAGCUAAUCAGCUUGUAUACUUCCGUCGCCAGCUUACCACGUGAGCGAAACUCAGUUAGCUCAACUGGCUUACUUGCUUAUCAACACCGCCAAUACGUCAGGUCGAAGUGCAGCAAAUGGGGUGGAAAGAGAUUGGCUACACUUUUUAAAUUAAAAAACAACGAAAGGCAGAUAAUUUGAAACUCUGCCAGAAGGUGGAUUUAGUAGUAAAAAGAAUUCAUUAUAUUCCUUUUAAAUAGGCACUGGAGCGUGUACACACCGCCCGUCACCCUCUUCGACAAAUCAUUAUAGUAUUUAACAACUUACAUACCACCAGAGAAGAGGUAAGUCGUAACAUGGUAAGUAUACCGGAAGGUGUACUUGGAAACAAAACAGUAGCUUAAACAAAGCAUCUUGCUUACACCAAGAACAUGUCCAUAAUAGGACCAUUUUGAAUUAGCCAAAAACCUAGCCCAAAUUUACCCAUUUCAUUAAUUUUAUUAAACUAAAAUAUUCUACUCAAUCUAGUAAAGAUGAUUAAAAAAUUUAUUUGAGCUAUAAAAACGUACCGCAG